AGAGUUUGAUCCUGGCUCAGGAUGAACGCUAGCGGCAGGCCUAAUACAUGCAAGUCGAACGGUGAUAGCAAUAUCAUAGUGGCGCACGGGUGCGUAACACGUAUGCAACCUACCUUAUACUGAGGGAUAGCCUUUCGAAAGGGAGAUUAAUGCCUCAUAACACAUUGAACUGGCAUCAGUUUACUGUUAAAGAUUUAUUGGUAUAAGAUGGGCAUGCGUCCAAUUAGUUAGUUGGCGAGGUAACGGCUCACCAAGACGAUGAUUGGUAGGGGAACUGAGAGGUUAAUCCCCCACACUGGCACUGAGAUACGGGCCAGACUCCUACGGGAGGCAGCAGUAGGGAAUAUUGGGCAAUGGAGGCAACUCUGACCCAGCCAUGCCGCGUGCAGGAAGAAGGCGUUAUGCGUUGUAAACUGCUUUUAUAUAGGAAGAAAUAGACCUUGCGAGGUAAGUUGACGGUACUAUAUGAAUAAGCACCGGCUAACUCCGUGCCAGCAGCCGCGGUAAUACGGAGGGUGCAAGCGUUGUCCGGAUUUAUUGGGUUUAAAGGGUGCGUAG
rnacentral:rRNA from 1 species